AACGAACGCUGGCGGCAGGCUUAACACAUGCAAGUCGAGCGCCCGCAAGGGAGCGGCAGACGGGUGAGUAACGCGUGGGAAUCUACCCAGUUCUACGAAAUAACCCAGGGAAACUUGGACUAAUACCGUAUACGCCCUACGGGGAAAGAUUUAUCGGAAUUGGAUGAGCCCGCGUUGGAUUAGCUAGUUGGUGAGGUAAUGGCUCACCAAGGCGACGAUCCAUAGCUGGUCUGAGAGGAUGAUCAGCCACACUGGGACUGAGACACGGCCCAGACUCCUACGGGAGGCAGCAGUGGGGAAUAUUGGACAAUGGGCGCAAGCCUGAUCCAGCCAUGCCGCGUGAGUGAUGAAGGCCUUAGGGUUGUAAAGCUCUUUCAGUGGGGAAGAUAAUGACGGUACCCACAGAAGAAGCCCCGGCUAACUUCGUGCCAGCCGCCGCCGUAAUAC
rnacentral:rRNA from 1 species